UACCAGACUCCUACGGGAGGCAGCAGUAGGGAAUAUUGCUCAAUGGGGGAAACCCUGAUGCAGCGACGCCGCGUGGGUGAAGGAGUAUUUCGGUAUGUAAAGCCCUAUCAGCAGGGAAGAACAAUGACGGUACCUGACUAAGAAGCACCGGCUAAAUACGUGCCAGCAGCCGCGGUAAUACGUAUGGUGCAAGCGUUAUCCGGAUUUACUGGGUGUAAAGGGAGCGCAGGCGGCGCGUUAAGCCUGGUGUGAAAGCCCGCGGCCCAACCGCGGGACUGCAUUGGGAACUGGCGCGCUGGAGUGCCGGAGGGGUAGGCGGAAUUCCUAGUGUAGCGGUGAAAUGCGUAGAUAUUAGGAGGAACACCAGUGGCGAAGGCGGCCUGCUGGACGAUGACUGACGUUGAGGCUCGAAAGCGUGGGGAGCAAACAGGAUUAGAUACCCGUGUA
rnacentral:rRNA from 1 species